UGGGGAAUUUUGGACAAUGGGCGCAAGCCUGAUCCAGCCAUGCCGCGUGUGUGAAGAAGGCCUUCGGGUUGUAAAGCACUUUCGGACGGAACGAAAUCGCGCGGGUUAACAGCCCGCGUGGAUGACGGUACCGUAAGAAGAAGCACCGGCUAACUACUUGCCAGCAGCCGCGGUAAUACGUAAGGUGCGAGCGUUAAUCGGAAUUACUGGGCGUAAAGCGUGCGCAGGCGGUUUUGUAAGACAGAUGUGAAAUCCCCGGGCUUAACCUGGGAACUGCAUUUGUGACUGCGAGGCUAGAGUACGGCAGAAGGGGGUAGAAUUCCACGUGUAGCAGUGAAAUGCGUAGAUAUGUGGAGGAAUACCGAUGGCGAAAGCAGCCCCCUGGGUCGAUACUGACGCUCAUGCACGAAAGCGUGGGGAGAAACAGGAUUAGAUACCCUGGUAGUCCCGCCCUAAACGAUGUCACUAGUUGUUGGGGAAGGAGACUUCUUUAGAACGAGCUUAGCGAUAAGUUGACCGCCUGGGGAGACGGUCCAAGAA
rnacentral:rRNA from 1 species